CCUACGGGUGGCAGCAGUGAGGAAUAUUGGUCAAUGGGCGCGAGCCUGAACCAGCCAAGUAGCGUGAAGGAUGACUGCCCUACGGGUUGUAAACUUCUUUUAUAAAGGAAUAAAGUGAGGCACGUGUGCCUUUUUGUAUGUACUUUAUGAAUAAGGAUCGGCUCACUCCGUGCCAUCAGCCGCGGUAAUACGGAGGAUCCGAGCGUUAUCCGUAUUUCUUGGGUUUAAAGGGAGCGUAGGUGGGUUGUUAAGUCAGUUGGGAAAGUUUGCGGCUCAACCGUAAAAUUGCAAUUGAUACUGGCAGUCUUGAGUACAGAUGAGGUAGGCGGAAUGCGUGGUGUAGCGGUGAAAUGCUUAGAUAUCACGAAGAACACCGAUUGCGAAGGCAGCUUACUAAACUGCCACUGACAUUGAUGCUCGAAAGUGUGGGUAUCAAACAGGAUUAGAUACCCUAGUAGUC
rnacentral:rRNA from 1 species